UUCAUCAAAUAAGUAGCAUGCUGUAAUUUUUGUUCAUUCCUUGUCAUGAUGAAGUGUGCAAAAAAUUUAUUUGUUUUUAAUACACUCGCUAUAUUUAGUUAUAUAUAGUUCAUUCCUAGUGAUUAGGAUGUUUCCUCUAUCUGGUUAAUUAUAUAUGUUGUCAAAUGUUUAAUUUUUGAAGAAUUUCUCUCUAGAAUCUAGAAGAAGUUGGGGCAACAACGAGCUUCCAUAAUGUUGUGAUUCCUGCUGAUGGUGUAUCUCCCUUGAACAACAAUCACCCAUCGGUUACUAAAACUAUAUGAAUCUCAAGCCAUCUCUUUUUUUUGUCCUCCUUUUGUUCUGCGACAUGUGGGAUCUCAGUGAUCUCUACAUCUUGCUUUUGAAACAUUAGAUUGAAAUGAUGCUAAAGAAAUCUCAAGUAGCCCUUAUAUUAGGAAUUAUGUCACAAGUUGUCUUGUUUUCAUAAUGUAGCUAUCUACUGAGAAAUUGGAGAAUGAUAUCCCUGUCUGCAUAAAAUUCUUCUUUAGAUGAAUUUGACUAGAUGUACUUACCCUUUCACUUUCAGCUUAAAGUGUAUUUGAGAACCCAUGCACAUGACCAAAUUAUUCAAGUUCUAACUUCUUUAGCUAUCAUUAGGAUGAUUAACAGGGUGUGCCAAACUCUACAAAACCAUGGGGUUUAUUUUCUUGACAUCAGUCUAUACUCGACAUGGAGGAUGGGAUUUACUAGCUAAUUAGGUGUGCGCAGCUGUUGUCAUGGAGAUCCGUGGCAUUCUUGUGUUGCAGCAGCAAAUCAAAUAUUUGUGUCCGGCCUAAAAUUUUGGUGUUUCCGUAGAUUUUUGUACAUCAACUGUUGACAAAUCCUCCAGAUAUCAUCAGAUGCAUGUUUCAUAGCUUUUGCGCUCUGCCAGUAUAAAUCCGCAGUAGUAUGCUGAUUUUAGGAAAAUUUAUCUGGCACUGGGUUAUGGCUCCCAUUUAUGUUUUGCUGCUGUCCAACAGUUAAUCAUGCCAUAUUCCUUGAAUUGUGUUGGUUGUGUAUUACUGUAUUAAUUAAAUUUUGGUGUCACCAGGAAGGGAUCAUGCCAGCGAAGCAGCAUCAUGAUGAUGAGGACCGAUGUGUGCUCAUUGUGGAUGUUGUCUCUGACUUAAUAAAAGGGCGGUGAUGAGUGGUUGUUUGUAUUGGAGGAUGGCACUGUCUGGUCUUCUCAUGCUCUGCUGCCGCGACAAGGGGGCUAACAUGCUGCAGGUCUCCUCCAACAACAUAUGACGAUGCCAGGGAUGGGCAGCUGCUGAUUGACCCUUGCCAUGGGCAGCUGCUGAUUGACCCUUGCCGCUACCACACGCCGCCUCUCCCGUCUCAUGCACCAGUUUGAGGCCCAGUCAGCCCUUGGCAUCGACUACUUUGUCCUUCACAUCUGGUCCUCACUGCCAUGCGGCGGCAGCGAGUUCACCAUGCCGCAACCAUGGCAGCGAUGGCCUUCUAUAGCGCCUCCGUGGUUUAGUCCUUGCUGGCCAUGCCUCCUUCACCUCUGUCUUCGCUGCUGUCUGAUGACAACGAGUUCACCGCGACGCAACAGCGAUAGCGGUAGCAUUCUUCUCUGUCUCCUGGAUUCUGCAACAUCUUGCUACUUGUUGGAACAUGAUGAGAAAACCUUAAAGAAAAGAGGGCUACGUCCAUGAACGGUGUCGUGCUCGCGGAUUGACGGUCCACUGCGCGAGAACAAUAGUCAGGCCGUGAUGGCUGGCUGGCAGUCCGUGUGUUGUUUCUAGAGAUGUCAAAUCGGUUAUGUUGCUGGCAUCCAUGAGGUGAUCAUUACUCAGCCCUAAUGAUCGGUGGAUUGUCGAAUUUCUCAAUGUGAAGAAACUUCUCUUUGAGUAGAUGGAUGCAUGUGCUUUGAAUUAGAGCACGUACCAUAAAGUACAUGUAAUUGGAUAUGCACCACAGAACACUCGUUCUUCUAUUUCUUCUUCUUUUCUUGUACCGCCACAGAGAUAAUUAGUGUUCCCUUGCUCCAAUACUUUGAAUGAAUUUAGGUAUGAAUUCGAUACAAAAUUGGUAA